rnacentral:lncRNA from 1 species
AUGGAUAAUUAUUAAUUGGCUUACCUAGCGGGUUGGGUUGGGUGCCAUAACGACUAGUGGAUUUCGGGUCAUGAUAGAUCGGUAUCAGAGCUCUAGGUUCAUAGGUUCUACAUAUCAUGAGCAAGUGUCUAGUAGAGUCUUGCAGAUUGGUAUGAUGACGUCCACACUUAUCUUCGAGAGACUAUAGGGCAUUUAGGAUAUACUUCUCAUCUUUCUUUCCUUAUCGUGUGACAUUGAUUCAGCUUGAAGCGUAAUUAUUUGAAUUCCUUCCACGCAUUCGUAUGUGCACAUGAGCACUCGGUAUCAGUUGUGCAUCGAUGGAUUGUGAUUCCAUGGAUGAGGUGCGAGAUGUGAUUUCUAUGUGUUGAUGAUGGGCCAAUCUGGAGGACUUGAGGCUAGGUUUUGACGGUAGCUUGAGCACAGAGGUGUUGAUUGUGUGAGCACGUGCUUUUGGAUUUAUAUGUCCGGUAGUGUCCUUAUUGGUGGAAUUUGUGGUAGGAUGGCUGUGUAAUGAGUAUGAUGUGAUUGGGGGAAGUGUUCGGAUGGUUUGAAUGUGACGAAAGGAGUUUGAUUGAGAUGUAAAUUGGUGCUUGAUUUCUGUCUUGAUUUGACGUAUAAUCUCGAGUUAUGGGUGUGUUGAAGGACCCUUCAUGUCGUUUAAUUGUGGAGUGAAGUAGAUUUUUCAUGUCUUGUUGAUGAGUUCAGAAUCAGGAAGACUAAGUAUUUGCGUGGUAGUUGUGACUGUGGAUGGGUAUAGAAAGAUGUUAGUUUGAGGCUAAGCAAGUGGGUUAUCUUUUGCGGGGUGUCCUGAGGUUGUGUGACCCCUAUGUUGUUGUAUUGAGAGUUCUCUUUUACCAGUGGAUUAUAUGUGCUACGAUUUUGAGUUUGCAUUACUUAUAAGAGUUGGCUUGACUAUUACAAGGGUGAAUGUGAGAUUUGCAGAUGAUUUGAGAUGCUAGAUAGCUUGUGCUACAUGAGCUUAUAGAAGAUUUAGUUGAAUUUCAGUGAGGGAUUUUGGCAGCAACAAAGUAUGGGUAUUGUAAGUUAUCAAAUGCUUUAAUUCCUAGCUUUGAGCCAAGUGGGGGAGUCUGCUAUCGACGGGUUGAUUGUGCGAUUAUGUGCUAUAUUGGUUUCGAUUUGAGAUAUACUGGUGAAUUAGUUAUGACCUAUCGAAGUUGAGAUUGAGGAUGACUCGAGUAAGGGAGUUUCUGGAUACGAGUUGCAUUAUACUCUAUGGGUAUAUGGAAAUCAUGGAAUGAUUGAGUGGCUAUUCGUGAAGGAUGCAGUGUUCAUGGAGUAGAAAUUUGCUUGGUUGCUUAGAGGUGUGAAUUACUUCUUAGGGUAUUAGGGUGCAAAAGGAGCACAAGCCGCUCGGUUCAUUUGGGUGGUGCUAUUGAGAUUCGAGUAGAGUGGGUGACUCUCGAGAAUGGUUCUAAUGAACUCAAGAUUUAUAUGUGGCAAUUGAGAAUGUUGCGGAUUUGUAUAUGGCUAGAAGUCGAGAGUUACAUUGGAUAGUGUCGAGACUUGCAGUAUUUCUAUAUGAUUAUGGAUUCUACAUUCAGUAUCAGGAAGGUAAAAAUGAACAACCUUAAAUUGACAGAAGGUCUCGUCAUAGUGGGUAUCUCAGUUGUGGUACUUUUAGGGUGCUUAAGAGAGCAUUCAGCAGCUUAUGAGCCUUAGGGCGGUGUGGUUUGAUCCUAGGGUCUCGUGUGGUGAGUCUUGGGUUGAGGAUUGUGGUAUUUUGGAGAAGAGAAGUAUCAAUUUGAAGGUAAUUCAGAAGGAACUCGGAGAAAUAGGACAACUUGGUAGUAGGUUAGAUCAGCAUGGUAAUGGAUAUGAUCAGUUCUUUGGCUGCAUGUGAUGUGGUGGAUUUCUACAGGUGUUUCGUGGCAAUACUCUUAGGUUUUUGGUGACCUGCGUAGCUGGGUUGAGUUAGAGGGAUUCAGUCCUGACGGUUUGGUUUUGUGUAAAUGAGAUUCGAAGAGUUCUUGAUGGUUUCUACCUCGGUUAGAGAUAUAUAUUUCCUACUGGCAUAAGGAGCAUGUGAUGUAUAGUGAUUUUCUCCGAAUGAAAUCAAAUGGAAAGAUCUUGGCUAAUUGAGUAUGUAGUUGCUUGUGACUCGGAGUGGAUUAUGAAGUCCUCGUAUUUUUCACAGGAUGGCAUGGUAUAUGCGAUAUGUUGUGUAGGAUCGAGAUUGAUAUGUGCAAGGUCACAGUUCAAUUUUGAAAGGAAGGUUAUGAGUCCUUAAGCAGCAUGGACAGUUUCAGAUGACUAUGUAAAUAAUAUUACUAUUUAGUAUGGCUUGAUGAGAGUAUACAUUUCAGAAGGGGCAAUAUGCCUUGAUUUACGGAUACUUCAUUGGUAUUACAGCACUUCCCUGGUUGAUCUAUUGUUGAUAUUCAAAUUUUACUAUGUGGCACGGAAGAAUUAUAGAAGUAUUCCUCAUAGGAAAAUCGUGUAGGAGAGAUGUGUUAGGUAUUCGGGUGAUGGAGUUGGAAUCAGAUAUGAUGAUUCGUGUGUUCUAUGGAUUUGAAGACUAGGAGUUUUCAAGAGUAGGUUGUUUCGUAGUUGUGAACUGUGAAAAUGCAGCCAAGGUUUGUCAGAGGAUAGUAUGUGUUAUGAUUCAGUCGUUGUGGACUUUCGGAGGGUUAUUUCUCUGUUUGUGGGUGACAAGAGUUGAUUUGGGGGUCCAUUAGUAGGCCAAAUUUGGAUGUGUAUUCGGUACCGAGCAGGAUUGGUUGGCUCCAUAUUGCUAUUGUUGAGGGAUAUGCCAUUUGGUUGGAGUUGAUUUUAUUCGUAUCAGACAUAUUCUGCGUUACUCUUUCAUGCUGUGAGGGGUUGUGAUUCGUUGGUUAUAUGCACACAUGGAAUGGUUCCAUUUGGGCUUUAUAGCGGAAUUUGAGCGAGAUGAGUAUUUGGGUGUCGCAUGAUUGGUCGCACAUUGGUUAUGUUCCUUCAGGCUUGUGGGGCAUUGCGUCAUUUUGCUUCUUCGUGGUUAUGGUAAUUCACUUUGGGAACUUGAUGUCAAAUCGCGCAUGAUUAUUGAUUUUGAGCAGGGUGGCUCGAGGUAUAUAAUAUGGACCAGCGUUUGGAUGGGCCUGCGCAUUGUAGCAGAGUUAUAUUGUGGUAUUAUCCUUUGUGAUAGAUUUGUGUGUUUUGGUUUUGUGGUGUGUGAUGGGUU